rnacentral:tRNA from 1 species
GGAGGAGUGGCAGAGUGGUCUAAUGCACUGGUCUUGAAAACCAGAGCCUCCGUAAGGGGGCCGUGAGUUCGAAUCUCACCUCCUCCG